GGCGUGUGGCCCCGGAUGUCAGGUUCUUCCCCCUUUUCGCGGUGAUGCCGUUGUAACCACCUGCGCGUAGAGCGGGCGUCGGACUCGGAGUCCACCUCAAACUGGGGAUAAAGCGACUCUCCUGCUACCUCGCGCUAGCGUCUCCAAGUCGCCAUCGUCGGGUGCGGAAACCUCCACAAUCCAUAUGUCCCCACCGAGACCCAUUAGUGCCAUGGGAGCUGCCGCCGUCGUUCGUCGCCAUUGUCGUCUCCUAACCUCCGUGGUGUGGACCCAGGCGUCCUAAACGGAGGGUAGAUCAUGCGCAAGGGCUUAACCGGGCGUGGUGACCUGUAGUGCGGCGGGGAUUUCUCGCCGUUGUUGUAAGCCAUCGUGGAUCCGCGCAUCUUCGUGGGCAGGGCACUACACUGCGAAAUUAACGACGAGCAAGCCACUGAGGACCCAGAUGUUCAGCAGGUGGAGACUGCUGAGGAGGAGCUCGUUGAAGGCAAGUUGUGCCCUUGAUCACUUCUAUUUACCCAAUAAUGUUCCUUUUAAUCAUUAUGAUCUGCAUAGGUUAAUUUUGAAGGGACCCAAUAGGUUACCCUAGUUUGACUAUCUUUAUACCUUGUUUACCACUGAACUUUUGGGUAGUACCUGCUAUUGCUUUAUGUGGUUUUGGGUAUGGAGAUACACAUUAUUCAUGAUCAGGCUUUUAUUAUCAAUUUAUUAUUUACUAUUCAUGAUAAGAUCGUAUUGUUAAUUGAAAGUCGCCUAGAGGGGGGUGAAUAGGUGAAACCUGAAAUUUAUAAACUUAAACUUGCACUAAGGCCGGGGUUAGCGUUAGAAUUAAAUCCGAGUGCGGAAAAUUGUUUCUCUUGCUAAGAGUUGCUCAAUAUAUGCAGAUGUCGUUUGGUAGCAAACUCAAAUCAAUACUAGCAAGGAAACGUUAGAGAGAGGAAAUAGGGAAAACAAAUCAAAUGGAAAUCAACACAAGUGAACAUGGUGAUUUGUUUUACCGAGGUUCAGUUCCAAAGAACCUAGUCCCCGUUGAGGAGGCCACAAAGGCCAGGUCUAUUUCAACCCUUUCCCUCUCUCAACGGUCACUUAGACCGGAUGAGCCUUUUCCUUAAUCACACAGGUCACUAAGACCCUACAAGGACCACCACACACUUAGGUGUCUCUUGCUUAGCUUUACAAAGCACUUAAGAAUUAGAAUAGGAAAGGAAGAAGGCAAUCCAAGCAACAAGAGCGCAAAUGAACACAAGUGAUCCUCUCUCAAGUCUCUAAGCACUAGAGUUGAUUUUGAAAACUUGGAGUGGAUUGAAUGCUUUGAAUGUGUCUUUGAGUGGUUGGCUUUGCUCUUGUAUUGAUUGGGAAGUUCAGAAUACUUGGAUGGCUUUGAAUGAGGUGGUUGGGGGGUAUUUAUAGCCUCCAACCACUUCCUAACCGUUGGUUGUUUUUGCUGGUGAUGGGCACACCGGACAGUCCGGUGGCGCACCGUACAGUCACUGUUCACUAUCCGGUGCACGCCACGUCAGCGCGCUCGUUGGGGGCUUGGAGCUGUUGACUGUUGGAACCCUUUGUCCUUUUGCUGCACCGGACAGUUCGGUGCCACACCGGACAUGUCCGGUGACCUCUGACUUCUGCGCGGCACUAUUCACUAUUGUCCCCUUUUUGCAGUCGACCGUUGACGCGCAGUGAUCGUUGCGUUGCUGGCUCACCGGACAUGUGCGGUGCACACCGGACAGUCUGGUGAAUUAUAGUGGAACGUGACUGGUGAAUUCCCGAGAGUGGCCUAUUCGUUGGGUGCCCGACCUGGUGCACCAGACAAUGUCCGGUGCGCCACUUGGCAACACACUCAUGUCUUGCUCCAAAUUUGAUUGUGUCACUAACUGAAUUUCUUUCUUGGUUUGUGUUGAACCUUAUGCACCUGAGGUAAAUGAUAUCUAGACAAACUAGUUAGUCCAUAUGAUUUGUGUUGGACGUCAACCACCAAAAUCGAUUAUACGAAAUGAUUAAGUCCAUUUUCCUUUCAUUAAUUGGAACAUGGAGAACCACCCAGGAAAACAGUGCUACCACAUGGGUGGUAUGGGACGCCCUUGGCUGACUAAUUAGAAAAGCUAGUGGAUGACUACCUUACCCGAAAGGGUCAAGGGCAGUAGGGGAGUGGUCGGUGUAGGGAGGUCCUUGGGUUGAUUUUGCUGCGAUGGCGGUCAAACGAGGGAUCCCUGCAUUAGGGCUUCCUAGAAACUGUAGCGGGUUUUCUGAAGCUAGUAGAACUUUGUAAAGGCCAUGUAGUGUUACCUUGCCUCGCUUCCUUGGUAGAGGUGUAUGGUAAGUUAUGAUCCCUUGGAAAAUGGGUAACAUGACUUGUGGGUAAAGAUGUGCAACCUCUGCAGAGUGUAAAACUGGUAUAUCAGCCGUGCUCACGGUCAUAAGCGGCUCGGACACUCACAUUAUUAAUUUAUGGAAUUAAAUUCAAUUUUUCAUUUGCAUCGCAUUGUGGUUUAUUAUUAAUUUGAUCUAUUAUUACUCUGGUUUGGGUAUUUACUUAUAUUUAGUAACUGCUAAUAAAACUUGACCACUUAUUAAAAGCAAUGCUCAGAUUUAACCAUUAUUUGUUGAUCAGCCUUACACUUUACAUGAGCUCCACCUUUGGUGAGUUCAUGCACAUUAUUCCCCACAACUUGUUGAGCUAUGAUCUUUUGUGAGCUCACUCUUGCGAUAUAUAACCCCCCCACAGGUGAAGAGCAGGUGGUCCAAGAGGAGCCCUAUAAUGAGGGGUACGAGUUAAUCUAGGUGGCGUCUCCCAGUUAGCUUGAUGGCGCAAAGGAAUAAUUAUUUAGUUCAUUUUAGUGUCAUCAUCUAUUUUUGUAAGACUUCCGCUAUGUAAUAAUGAUACUUGUGACAUUUAUCUCUAUACACUUUGUCAUUAUAUGUGA